CGUAAUGAUUUCAAUCUUCCCGCUGUAUAAAUAAACAGUGUUGUUCAGGAGUUCUCCUUGGCUGCAGUUCUGGCCGGUAUGUCUCAAAGGCUUGCAGACGAUCCAGCUGGAAUUUUCAGCAAAGGCAAAGGAACUGACCUGGGAGAGUGACUACUGUGUGCCCUGCCUCCUUGGGAGACAUUUAAAUAGGUAAUCCCCGUAAGCCGUCCUCCCGACCCAGGAGUCAGUGUCGUCCCCCCCUCAACUUAGGAGGAGGUCGGGGUCCAGCGAUGGCAGGAAACGCACCGGGGAUCAGAGGCCAGGGCCCAGGGAAGUGAACUCAAGCGCCUGCAGCCCCCUUGCUGUCUCAGGAAAGUUUGAAAGUGGAGAAAUGUACCAAGAAAAUUAAAAUCACCUGUAUCCUUGCCACCCAGAAAAAGACACGCAAGAGAAGGAGACCAACCAGCUGUUCCCAGAUGGUGUGAACUUAGUGCAUGAAACUAGCGCGUCCAGGGCUC
rnacentral:lncRNA from 1 species